CUCAGCUGACUUCCGCCUUGCUUUCAGCGAGCUCAGGUUGUCUGCGAAGGUGGUAAUUAUUUUGUUCCAGAGGAAACUCAGGCCUGUGAUUCGAGGCCUGGGCCCUGCCCCUCUGCAUGGUCUCCCAGGUCACCAACGCUGAGGGAAGGGCUGUCCUCCCGCAGCUCCCAACGUCGCAGGCGUCCUUCACACCCCCGCCCCACCCGAGGACGCUGCGAGCCUUCUGGUUGGCUGUAUGCGGAGACCCCGCCGUCGGGGUCAGCCAGGUUCCGGACCUCUUCAGGGAGCCGGCGGGUCUGCCCGUGAGGACUGCCCCGCCCGGCGCACAGCGGCUCCUCUCGGCCAAAUGUAUUUAUUCCCACCACACAGUCUCGAGCUUUUCUGGUUCCUCAGAGGCCGGAGUCCAGCAGGGAGGGCAGCCCCCCGAGGACAGAGUGCCCGGCACCUCCCUGCCGGCCUGGGCACGAGCAGCUGCGCGUGGCGGGCCGCCGCCGCCCCCCUCCCCAUGCCCCGCGAACCCUGACCUGCCCAGGGCUCCCAUCCCGCCGGGCACGCGGUCUCCGCCCGUCCCAGGCUGCCGCUCUGCAGUCAAACUGCAACAUGAAAAGAAUAAACACCUCACCUGUCGUUUGUAAGAGUCCAUUCCAUACCCCGUUUUGUCACUUUAAAGACCGAAA
rnacentral:lncRNA from 1 species